rnacentral:rRNA from 1 species
AAUAGAUACCCCGGUAGUCCACGCCGUAAACUAUGGAUGCUAGCUGUUAGAAGUAUCGACCCUUCUAGUAGCGAAGCUAACGCGUUAAGCAUCCCGCCUGUGGAGUACGGUCGCAAGACUAAAACAUAAAGGAAUUGACGGGGACCCGCACAAGCGGUGGAGCGUGUUGUUUAAUUCGAUGGUAAGCGAAGAACCCUACCCAGGCUUGACAUCCUUGGAAGGCUUCCGAAAGGAAACUGUGCCCUCGGGAACCAAGUGACAGGUGAUGCAUGGCCGUCGUCAGCUCGUGUCGUGAGAUGUUUGGUUAAGUCCAUCAACGAGCGCAACCCUUUUAGUUAGUUGUAUUUCUCUAGCUAGACUGCCCUGGUAACAGGGAGGAAGGAGGGGAUAAUGUCAGGUCAGUAUUUCCCUUACGUCUGGGGCUACAAACACGCUACAAUGGCCGGUACAAAGGGCAGCCAAGUCGCGAGACGGAGCAAAUCCCAUCAAAGCCGGUCUCAGUUCGGAUAGCAGGCUGAAACUCGCCUGCUUGAAG